GUUACAUCUGCUGCAGCCCAGGAAAAGAUUUCUGGCUCCGCGCUGGUCAUCAUUUCAGCACCGGCGAAGAUGUGCUAUUCCUGUCCCCGAUGAACAUUUGCUUCUUGAGAAAGGAGCGCUUUGUAUAGAGCUACCCUCACUGCAUUUGUCC